UACGAAGGGGGGGCUAGCGUUGUUUCGGAAUUUACUGGGCGUAAAGCGCACGUAGGCGGAUUUUUUUAAGUCAGGGGUGAAAUCCCGAGGCUCAACCUCGGAACUGCCUUUUGAUACUGGAGAUCUUGAGUUCGGAAGAGGUUUGGUGGAACAGCUAGUGUAGAGGUGAAAUUCGUAGAUAUUUAGCUAGAACACCAGUGGCGAAGGCGGCCAACUGGUCCGAUACUGACGCUGAGGUGCGAAAGCGUGGGGAGCAAACAGG
rnacentral:rRNA from 1 species